rnacentral:rRNA from 1 species
GACGAACGCUGGCGGCGUUCUUAACACAUGCAAGUCGAACGAUGAAGCCUAGCUUGCUAGGUGGAUUAGUGGCGAACGGGUGAGUAAUACGUGAGUAACCUACCUUUAACUCUGGGAUAAGCCUGGGAAACUGGGUCUAAUACCGGAUACGACCAAUCUCCGCAUGGGGUGUUGGUGGAAAGCGUUAUGUAGUGGUUAUAGAUGGGCUCACGGCCUAUCAGCUUGUUGGUGAGGUAACGGCUCACCAAGGCGACGACGGGUAGCCGGCCUGAGAGGGUGACCGGCCACACUGGGACUGAGACACGGCCCAGACUCCUACGGGAGGCAGCAGUGGGGAAUAUUGCACAAUGGGCGCAAGCCUGAUGCAGCGACGCCGCGUGAGGGAUGACGGCCUUCGGGUUGUAAACCUCUGUUAGCAGGGAAGAAGAGAGAUUGACGGUACCUGCAGAGAAAGCGCCGGCUAACUACGUG